UCGGAGUCCUCCGGGAGAACACAAACAACAAGGGGGAAGACUCAUCUCCUCACAGGUCAUUUUCGGAGGAUUCUCGAACCACGCCAUGAAGGGAAUGGGGGACGGCUCCUACCGUACUCCUGACUUUUGGUAACUUACUGCGUUUGUCAGUGCUGACCUCCAACAUUGUAGGAGGAAAGGCUUUCAGUGAUGAUGAAGUUAACAGACUAUUUUCAGUGUCAAAGACCACCGUUGGGGUAUGGCAGUAAUGGCAAGAUUCUCAUGACACCAAUCAACUGCCAAGGGGAAACAGUAUUUAGAAUCUUUUGGUUCAGCUUAACUUCCAGAAACCCAUAGACUCAGUUCCUGGAGCCCCGACAUCAGCCUUCCCUCCAUAGUCAUGUGGGAACAAAGACAAGGAGGAAAUGGCAAGUAAAAUUAAAUUUCCUUAUAACCCGCAGCCCAUUGACAAAUACCUGAGGCUAAUACAAAGUAUACCAUUUCUCUAGGAACCGCCUACUGUCCUAAUGUUAAUACCUUACUGGAGAGAAAACAACCUUCGCUUGACAAUAGCCAGGCCUCCAGUACCUUAAGAGUCCUCUUUAGGAUAUCAAAGUCCCUUUUUUUUACUUCCCCCUCCCCGCAACUGCAGCUCUUUCUGCCCACGAGUCCUUCUUCAUGCUUUAAUAAAACUACCU